ACAUCUCCACACGUGAGACUCACCUGUUAAGACAGACGCUUUCCCUACACUAUCCCUACAGGAAAGCAGUCGUCUGUUUGAACUGAUGUGAUUGUAGGGGUGUAUGUGGAGUGUCAUCUUCAAGGUCUGUGAUAUCUUGAUGUAGGAAAGUAGGGGUCACGUCAUCUACAGUCUUAUCUACCGCUUUCUGUAAGUACUUCUGUAUGCAAGGGAGUAUGCAACAGGUUAAAAAUAAGAAGAUGAUGAUCAUUAUAAGAACAGCUGUUCCCACCUGGAAGAGGGUCCUUUGCCAACCAUUCAUCCAUCCAAACCAUCUGUCCCAAGUGUCAGUGACUCCUGAAUUUUUCUUUAACUCGUCUGCAAGACUAUCUAGCUUCUCUAUGGCCAUAGUCACCUUACCAUUGGGCCCAGUGUUGUCUGGAAUGUAUGUGCAGCAUGUCAUGGUCUCAGGGAGGAUUUUACAUACUCCCCCUUUCU